rnacentral:rRNA from 1 species
ACUACGGGUGGCAGCAGUGGGGAAUAUUGGGCAAUGGGCGCAAGCCUGACCCAGCAACGCCGCGUGAAGGAAGAAGGCUUUCGGGUUGUAAACUUCUUUUCUCAGGGACGAAGAAAGUGACGGUACCUGAGGAAUAAGCCACGGCUAACUGCGGGCCAGCAGCCGCGGUAAUACGUAGGUGGCAAGCGUUAUCCGGAUUUAUUGGGUGGAAAGGGCGUGUAGGCGGGAGCGCAAGUCAGAUGUGAAAACUCAGGGCUCAACCCUGAGCCUGCAUUUGAAGAUGUGUUUCUUGAGUGCUGGAGAGGCAAUCGGAAUUCCGUGUGUAGCGGUGAAAUGCGUAGAUAUACGGAGGAACACCAGUGGCGAAGGCGGAUUGCUGGACAGUAACUGACGCUGAGGCGCGAAAGCGUGGGGAGCAAACAGGAUUAGAUACCCCAGUAGUC